GAUGAACGCUGGCGGCGUGCCUAAUACAUGCAAGUCGAGCGAACAGACGAGGAGCUUUCUCCUCUUACGUUAGCGGCGGACGGGUGAGUAACACGUGGAUAACCUACCUAUAAGACUGGGAUAACUUCGGGAAACCGGAGCUAAUACCGGAUAACAUGGUGAACCGCAUGGUUCAACAGUGAAAGACGGUCUUGCUGUCACUUAUAGAUGGAUCCGCGCCGCAUUAGCUAGUUGGUAAGGUAACGGCUUACCAAGGCAACGAUGCGUAGCCGACCUGAGAGGGUGAUCGGCCACACUGGAACUGAGACACGGUCCAGACUCCUACGGGAGGCAGCAGUAGGGAAUCUUCCGCAAUGGGCGAAAGCCUGACGGAGCAACGCCGCGUGAGUGAAGAAGGUCUUCGGAUCGUAAAACUCUGUUAUUAGGGAAGAACAAAUGUGUAAGUAACUAUGCACGUCUUGACGGUACCUACUCAGAAAGCCACGGCUAACUACGUG
rnacentral:rRNA from 1 species